GAUAAUUUCUUACCAAACUGGACACUAUAUGGGCUAAAAUGGCAUAGGAAUAGACAUCCCCGUAUGUAGAGUGUUUCAUUCUAUUGGAUUCCGACUCACUGCAGAUAUUAUAUUGUUGUAGCCCUAAUCUGUAGCCAAACGCUCGGAUGGCGCCUACAGGCUACGUUUCUGGUUACCGAGGGAACGCAGAUGGUAGAGGAGACUGACGGGCAUUCAUUCUGUCAUCAGUUUGCAUUACAAUAGAACGUACUCGUAGACCUGUGGCAGCUGGAGUCCGUAGCCUACACGCGCUCGCAUACAAAAUACAGACAUCUGCGGGUUAAUUCCUCGUGCCAUCCAAACACUCCUUUGUCCAGGCUUCAGUCUUGUUAUUUACUCUCCAUUAUUAACCGCCCAUCAGAGGCAGCUGCUCCGCACUCACCCGACCUCUCUGCUCAAACUGACGCACUCCACGGAAGAUCAGAGUUGGACACAGUUGGAGCGCUUCAUGGCGCCACCCUUGCUGACACAGAUGCUGUGAGACUGGUGCAUUUUGGACCGAUGGUCAAACUUGCGUCAAUGCAAAAGUGGCCAAACCCACAGCCCAGCUGGCAGGAUGCAUAUCCCCAUGACAACUGGGAUUCCCUGGGGUCCCUGAUGGACUACAGGAGUAGGGAGACAGGUAUGCGUCCAGUAUAUCCACACAUAUUGAGGGAGGGGUUCUUCUAAAGGCAGAGAAUUAACCACUGCCAUUGGUGGUAAUGAUGCCUUGUAGGCUCCAUUCCUCCAUGAAAUUUGUAUUGACUAUUGUUUGUAUUAGGGUACCUACCGUAGCAAGGUAUUCAUUUAAAUUAGGUUAGUUUAAGGUAAAACAUUUCAAAUUAGAUGAAAAAGGUUAAUCAGGUCAGUUAGUAACGGUUCCUAAUCGCCUAUGAUUCUGGGAACUUUAUUAACCCUUCCCUCCUGCAUCCCAUGGUAUCUUUUGUCAGUAGUCAAGUCCAAUGGUCCAGCCUCUCCUUGGUAGGGUUUUGGGGACAGGUGUUCCAGGGGGUUGCGUUCCACUUUCUGCUGCUCGCUGCUCUGUGUUUCUCUCCAGAUAUGCUGAGGAGGAUGGUGGGACGGUGCCAGCCCUCAGAGCCCAUUUAGAUGAGUCAACAACAUGACCUGACUGACUGACAGGGCUGUAUACAAAGCUGUUUUCUAAACAGUUGUCAACGCGGUUCAUCCUUACCGAACUGGAACUGGGACGGGAACUGGGACCUAUGGCUUUCACCCACUGACAAAUGAACAUUACUACAAGGCUACUGACGGAGCACACUUCUUUUGCUAUCGAUUUGUGUUAGAUGGAGACCUUGCAGUGAUUAUUAUUGUUAUUAUUAUUAUUUGGAUGUACCAUUGGCACAUUGCUGGCCCCUUUAAUUGUAGUAUAUUUUAUGCCAUGUCGUUCAGGCCUUUGUUUGAUAGGACCACAUUUCAUGCCAUAACCUCUUAAGGAUCUUACCCUUUUUUUUAAAUUUUCGCCUAAAAUGACAUACCCCAAUCUAACUGCCUGUAGCU